CCACGGCGCGCGCGGGCGGAGACGGCUGCGGUGUCGGGAACGGCCUCCUGCGCCCUGACACGAGCGCUGCGGCCCUCCCCGGUUAACGGGAGUUGGUUACGAAGAUGUCCGACGGGGGAGCCGGGGGGCGCUCGCUACGAGCAUUCCGGGCACAAGGACACAUGCUGCCUGUUAUUACCACCACGGGAGAUGCAGAUAACAUCUUUUUGUGUAAAAAUCUAUCUUGGGAGCAAUGAGACAGCACCAUCUCCACAUCACACUGCUCUCCAUCCCAUGAUCGUUAAUUCAGAUUUCCAGGAACUUUAAGACAAGCCAAUUGGGCUCAAAUGACGCUGAGAAACUACAAUGCACCAAUGGCAACAGGAUGCACCCUUUUGUACAAUAAACAGCCAUGAGGAUCACUUGCACUUUUUGCUCUAUAACCCCAGGCCAUGAGUCUGUUAUUAAAACCUAUUAAGAGCAUGCUUGUCAAUAAAAGCCCAUGAAAGAAUGCCUGCGUUCUAUGCUAG
ensembl:lncRNA